GUCCCUGUAGAGAAAUGUAUAUCACGUUGGACUUCUAAUCGAAAGGUCGUGGAAUGGAAUCCCACCGGGGAUG